AGUGAACGCUGGCGGUAGGCCUAACACAUGCAAGUCGAACGGCAGCACAGUAAGAGCUUGCUCUUACGGGUGGCGAGUGGCGGACGGGUGAGGAAUACAUCGGAAUCUACUUUUUCGUGGGGGAUAACGUAGGUAAACUUACGCUAAUACCGCAUACGACCUACGGGUGAAAGCAUGGGAUCUUCUGACCUUGCGCGAUUGAAUGAGCCGAUGUCGGAUUAGCUAGUUGGCGGGGUAAAGGCCCACCAAGGCGACGAUCCGUAGCUGGUCUGAGAGGAUGAUCAGCCACACUGGAACUGAGACACGGUCCAGACUCCUACGGGAGGCAGCAGUGGGGAAUAUUGGACAAUGGGCUCAAGCCUGAUCCAGCCAUACCGCGUGGGUGAAGAAGGCCUUCGGGUUGUAAAGCCCUUUUGUUGGGAAAGAAAAGCAGCAGGUUAAUACCCCGCUGUUCUGACGGUACCCAAAGAAUAAGCACCGGCUAACUUCGUG
rnacentral:rRNA from 1 species